AUCGAACGCUGGCGGCCGGCCUAACACAUGCCCGUCGAACGCGUGGCGGACGGGUGAGUAAUGUCUGGGAAACUGCCCGAUGGACGGGGAUCACUACUGGAAACGGUAGCUAAUACCGCAUUCCCUCGGUUUUCCCCAGAUGGGAGUAGCUAGUCGGUGGGGUAACGGCUCACCUAGGCCACGAUCCCUAGCUGGUCUGAGAGGAUGACCAGCAAAAAUGGAACUGAGACACGGUCCAUACCUCUAGGGGAGGCAGCAGUGGGGAAUAUGGCGCAAGGGGCGGAAGCCGGAUGCAGCCCGGGGGCGUGUAUGAAGAAGGCCCUCGGGUUGGAAGAGACUUUCAGCGAGGAGGCGGUACUCGCAGAGGAAGCACCGGCUAACUCCGUGCCAGCAGCCGCGGUAAGAC
rnacentral:rRNA from 1 species